CCUAGGGAGGCAGCAGUGAGGAAUAUUGGUCAAUGGACGCAAGUCUGAACCAGCCAUGCCGCGUGCAGGAUGACGGCUCUAUGAGUUGUAAACUGCUUUUGUACGAGGGUAAACCCCGAUACGUGUAUCGGGUUGAAAGUAUCGUACGAAUAAGGAUCGGCUAACUCCGUGCCAGCAGCCGCGGUAAUACGGAGGAUCCGAGCGUUAUCCGGAUUUAUUGGGUUUAAAGGGUGCGUAGGCGGUUUGAUAAGUUAGCGGUGAAAUACCGAUGCUCAACAUCGGGGCUGCCGCUGAUACUGUAGGACUAGAGAUCGGAUGCAGCAGGCGGAAUGUGGAGUGUAGCGGUGAAAUGCAUAGAUAUUACACAGAACACCGAUUGCGAAGGCAGCUUGCUAGGCCGGAUCUGACACUGAUGCACGAAAGCGUGGGGAUCGAACAGGAUUAGAUACCCCGGUAGUC
rnacentral:rRNA from 1 species